rnacentral:rRNA from 1 species
AUAUGAGUUUGAUCUUGGCUCAGGGUGAACGCUAAUAGUAUGCUUUACACAUGCAAGUUGUACGAAAUUUUCGUGGCAAACGGGUGAGGAACACGUAGAAAAAUCUACCUUUUAGUCUUGAGUAAGCAUAUCGGGGAGACAAAAAACUUUCAGAGAAAAAUAUUUGAUUUGUGUUAAUACGAGAUAAUAACAAAAGGUUAAUUAUAUAAAAUUUACUUAUAAUAUAAUUAAUUGCUAAAAGAUGAGUCUAUGUAAGAUUAGGUAGUUGGUAAUUUAAUAGCUUACCAAGCCAAUGAUCUUUAGUUGGUCUGAGAGGAUGAUCAACCACACUGGAACUGAGACAAGGUCCAGGCUAAGUUUUUGGCCAGCAGUGAGGAAUAUUGGACAAUGAACGAAAGUUUGAUCCAGCAAUACUAUGUGAAUGAUGACGACUGAUUUUUAGAAAUAAUAUUUAAUCACAAAAUGCAAUUUGAUUAAAGCAUUCUUUCUGGUUGUAAAGUUCUUUCGUUGAAAAUGAUAAUGACAUUAUUCAAAGAAGUUUUAGUCCCGGCUAAUCUCGUGCCAGCAGCCGCGGUAAUACGGGAGGGGCAAGCGUUAUCCAAAAUGACUGGGCGUAAAGAGUCCGUAGACAGUACUGUAAGUUAUUUGUUAAAUCCUAAAGCUCAACUUUAGAAAAGCAUUUAAUACUACUUUACUUGAGUUUUGUUCAGAAGAGUAGAAUUCCAUGUUUAGGGAUAAUCCCCGUAGAUAUAUGGAGGAACACCAGUAGCGAAGGCGACUCUUUGGUAAAAACUGACGUUGAGGGACGAAAGUGUAGGGAGCAAACAGGAUUAGAUACCCUGGUAGUCUACACUGUAAAUUCUGAGUGCUGUAAUUCAGACCAUAAAUUUGUUGUUCUGGAUUUUUUAAGCUAACGCCAUAAGCACUCCGCCUGAGGAGUACGACCGCAAGGUUGGAACUCAAAAGAAUUGACGGGGGCCUACAACGAGUGGUGGAGCAUGUGGUUUAAUGCGAUAAUCCGCGCAAAACCUUACCAACCCUUGACAUAAAGAAAAAGAAAAUAUUUUACAUAUUUAAAAUAAUUUUUGAUUGAAUAAGAUAGUUUUAAUAUCUUUUAAUAAAUUUCUUUACAGGUGUUGCACGACUGUC